UGAGGAAUUUUCCGCAAUGGGCGAAAGCCUGACGGAGCAAUACCGCGUGAGGGAUGAAGGAUUUUGGUCUGUAAACCUCUUUUCUCAAGAAAGAAGUUCUGACGGUACUUGAGGAAUAAGCAUCGGCUAACUCCGUGCCAGCAGCCGCGGUAAUACGGGGGAUGCAAGCGUUAUCCGGAAUGAUUGGGCGUAAAGCGCCUGUAGGUUGUUUAUUAAGUCCGUUGUUAAAGCCUAGGGCUCAACCCUAGAAAAGCAAUGGAAACUAGUAGACUAGAGUAUGGCAGGGGUAGAGGGAAUUUCUAGUGUAGCGGUGAAAUGCGUAGAUAUUAGAAAGAACACCGGUGGCGAAAGCGCUCUACUGGACCAUUACUGACACUCAGAGGCGAAAGCUAGGGUAGCAAAAGGG
rnacentral:rRNA from 1 species